rnacentral:rRNA from 1 species
GAUGAACGCUGGCGGCGUGCCUAAUACAUGCAAGUCGAGCGGAUGGAUUAAGAGCUUGCUCUUAUGAAGUUAGCGGCGGACGGGUGAGUAACACGUGGGUAACCUGCCCAUAAGACUGGGAUAACUCCGGGAAACCGGGGCUAAUACCGGAUAACAUUUUGAACCGCAUGGUUCGAAAUUGAAAGGCGGCUUCGGCUGUCACUUAUGGAUGGACUCGCGUCGCAUUAGCUAGUUGGUGAGGUAACGGCUCACCAAGGCAACGAUGCGUAGCCGACCUGAGAGGGUGAGCGGCCACACUGGGACUGAGACAGGGCCCAGACUCCGACGGGAGGCAGCAGUAGGGAAUCUUCCGCAAUGGACGAAAGUCUGACGGGGCAACGCCGCGUGAGUGAUGAAGGCUUUCGGGUCGUAAAACUCUGUUGUUAGGGAAGAACAAGGGCUAGUUGAAUAAGCUGGCACCUUGACGGUACCUAACCAGAAAGCCACGGCUAACUACGUGCCAGCAGCCGCCGUAA